UACGGGGGGGCAAGCGUUGUUCGGAAUUACUGGGCGUAAAGGGUUCGUAGGUGGCCAACUAAGUCAGACGUGAAAUCCCUCGGCUUAACCGGGGAACUGCGUCUGAUACUGGAUGGCUUGAGUUCGGGAGAGGGAUGCGGAAUUCCAGGUGUAGCGGUGAAAUGCGUAGAUAUCUGGAGGAACACCGGUGGCGAAGGCGGCAUCCUGGACCGACACUGACGCUGAGGAGCGAAAGCCAGGGGAGCAAACGGG
rnacentral:rRNA from 1 species